CCUACGGGUGGCAGCAGUGAGGAAUAUUGGUCAAUGGACGCAAGUCUGAACCAGCCAUGCCGCGUGCAGGAAGACGGCUCUAUGAGUUGUAAACUGCUUUUGUACGAGGGUAAACGCAGAUACGCGUAUCUGUCUGACAGUAUCGUACGAAUAAGGAUCGGCUAACUCCGUGCCAGCAGCCGCGGUAAUACGGAGGAUUCAAGCGUUAUCCGGAUUUAUUGGGUUUAAAGGGUGCGUAGGCGGUUCGAUAAGUUAGAGGUGAAAUCCCGGGGCUCAACUCCGGCACUGCCUCUGAUACUGUCGGGCUAGAGUUUAGUUGCGGUAGGCGGAAUGUAUGGUGUAGCGGUGAAAUGCAUAGAGAUCAUACAGAACACCGAUUGCGAAGGCAGCGUACCGGCGCCAGACUGACGCUGAGGCACGAAAGCGUGGGGAUCGAACAGGAUUAGAUACCCCGGUAGUC
rnacentral:rRNA from 1 species